AUAUUAUUAUUUUAAUACAGUAUAAUAGGUGAUGCUGGUUUUUGUACCAGUAAGUCAUUACAGCUGCUAGGAUGGAAUGGGUGUGGUCUAUCUUUUAUCAUGUGACAGGAAACAAAAAUCAAUUUCCUUGGUCCAUUAUGCCAGCUAGUCAACUUCAAAGCACAAGCUAAUGUAAGCAUAUACCAUAUACAUGUAUCUGGUAAUUAUACUAUAUCCCA